ACGGGAGGCAGCAGUGGGGAAUAUUGGACAAUGGGGGCAACCCUGAUCCAGCAAUGCAGCGUGUGUGAAGAAGGCCUGCGGGUUGUAAAGCACUUUCAAUUGGGAGGAAAAGCUAAUGGUUAAUACCCAUUAGUCUUGACGUUACCAUUAGAAGAAGCACCGGCUAACUCCGUGCCAGCAGCCGCGGUAAUACGGAGGGUGCAAGCGUUAAUCGGAAUUACUGGGCGUAAAGCGCGCGUAGGUGGUUUGUUAAGUCGGAUGUGAAAGCCCCGGGCUCAACCUGGGAAUUGCAUUCGAUACUGGCAGACUAGAGUAUGGUAGAGGGAAGUGGAAUUCCGGGUGUAGCGGUGAAAUGCGUAGAUAUCCGGAGGAACAUCAGUGGCGAAGGCGGCUUCCUGGACCAAUACUGACACUGAGGUGCGAAAGCGUGGGUAGCAAGCAGGAUUAGAUACCCUGGUAGUCCACGCCGUAAACGAUGAGAACUAGUUGUUGGGGAGGUUAGACUCCUUAGUGACGCAGCUAACGCAUUAAGUUCUCCGCCUGGGGAG
rnacentral:rRNA from 1 species